rnacentral:pre_miRNA from 1 species
GUACAUGUGUGUGGAUAGUGUUUAGCAUCAGGGAAAGUUGUGUUUACCUGUGAGUGGAUGUUUUUCAGCACCAGGUACAGACGUGUUUGUGU